rnacentral:misc_RNA from 1 species
GGAACGAUUCUGGUAUGAUGCAGCUGGGUCGCAUUUGUUGGCAUUUUGAUGGUCCCGCUCGUUCACCCUGACGUCUGGGGCUCUACGCGCAAAUGACGUUUGCAGGUAACCCCCCAGAUCAGAGAAAAUUGAGAGAAUUCAUUCAAUGUACAAUUUCUAACGCUUGACAUGUGCAAAGUGCAGCGCACUCUACUCUCCUCCUUGAAUCUCGAAACAUUCUCCAAAAGGUCGUACAGAAAGCCACAAGUUCGAAUCUGGCUUGCUCGGAGCCCCACAGGUGAGCUGAGAAAACAUUCACUUGUUACCUGCAUCUCGGAGCCCUUAGUACAGCUCUGUGCAACUAUUCAUAGGCUCAGGCAAACCAAGGAAUUCUUAUUCUACCCUUAGAAGACGUGGAUCAAACAGAACUUGUACCAAAUGCUGCCGGUAAACUCCAAGAGCCUUUAUUCUGGGCUCGCAUCAUUCCAGACAAACUAACGAUGUACUCGUGAUUAUAUUUAAUUAAAUACAUCGGGUAUUAUUGCGAACAAUCCAAUUAAUAAUUUUAUGUCAAGCAAAAUGAAAGCAUUGCUCAUAACAUUGUAAAGCAAUAGUCAUAGGAAUUAAUUUAUACAUAUUUGGAGAUGAACCUACCCAUAAUAUAC